rnacentral:rRNA from 1 species
CCUACGGGCGGCAGCAGUGGGGAAUAUUGGGCAAUGGGCGCAAGCCUGACCCAGCAACGCCGCGUGCAGGAAGAAGGCUCUCGGGUUGUUAACUUCUUUUUUUCGGGACGAAAACACUGAUGGUACCGAAUGAAUGAGCCACGGCUAAAUACGUGCCAGCAGCCGCGGUAAUACGGAGGGUGCAAGCGUUAUGCGGAUUUAAUGGGUGUAAAGGGUGUGUAGGCGGGAGGGCAAGUCAGACGUGAAAUUCCAGGGCUCAACCCUGGAACUGCGUUUGAUACUGUUCUGCUUGAGUGUAGGUGAGGCAGGCGGAAUGUCGGGUGUAGCGGUGAAAUGCGUAGAGAUACGGAGGAACACCAAUGGCGAAGGCAGCCUACUAGACAAUAACUGACGCUGAGGCACGAAAGCGUGGGGAGCAAACAGGAUUAGAUACCCCGGUAGUC